rnacentral:rRNA from 1 species
AGAGUUUGAUCCUGGCUCAGAUUGAACGCUGGCGGCAUGCCUUACACAUGCAAGUCGAACGGCAGCACGAGAGCUUGCUCUUGGUGGCGAGUGGCGAACGGGUGAGUAAUAUAUCGGAACGUACCCUAGAGUGGGGGAUAACGCAGCGAAAGUUGCGCUAAUACCGCAUACGAUCUACGGAUGAAAGUGGGGGAUCGCAAGACCUCAUGCUCAUGGAGCGGCCGAUAUCUGAUUAGCUAGUUGGUAGGGUAAAAGCCUACCAAGGCUUCGAUCAGUAGCUGGUCUGAGAGGACGACCAGCCACACUGGAACUGAGACACGGUCCAGACUCCUACGGGAGGCAGCAGUGGGGAAUUUUGGACAAUGGGCGCAAGCCUGAUCCAGCAAUGCCGCGUGAGUGAAGAAGGCCUUCGGGUUGUAAAGCCCUUUUGUCAGGGAAGAAACGGUGGACUCUAAUACAGAUCACUAAUGACGGUACCUGAAGAAUAAGCACCGGCUAACUACGUGCCAGCAGCCGCGGUAAUACGUAGGGUGCAAGCGUCAAUCGGAAUUACUGGGCGUAAAGCGUGCGCAGGCGGUUGUGCAAGACAGAUGUGAAAUCCCCGGGCUCAACCUGGGAAUUGCAUUUGUGACUGCACGGCUAGAGUGUGUCAGAGGGGGGUAGAAUUCCACGUGUAGCAGUGAAAUGCGUAGAGAUGUGGAGGAAUACCGAUGGCGAAGGCAGCCCCCUGGGAUAACACUGACGCUCAUGCACGAAAGCGUGGGGAGCAAACAGGAUUAGAUACCCUGGUAGUCCACGCCCUAAACGAUGUCUACUAGUUGUUGGGUCUUAAUUGACUUAGUAACGCAGCUAACGCGUGAAGUAGACCGCCUGGGGAGUACGGUCGCAAGAUUAAAACUCAAAGGAAUUGACGGGGACCCGCACAAGCGGUGGAUGUUGUGGAUUAAUUCGAUGCAACGCGAAAAACCUUACCUACCCUUGACAUGUACGGAAUCCCUGAGAGAUUAGGGAGUGCUCGAAAGAGAACCGUAACACAGGUGCUGCAUGGCUGUCGUCAGCUCGUGUCGUGAGAUGUUGGGUUAAGUCCCGCAACGAGCGCAACCCUUGUCAUUAGUUGCUACGAAAGGGCACUCUAAUGAGACUGCUGGUGACAAACCGGAGGAAGGUGGGGAUGACGUCAAGUCCUCAUGGCCCUUAUGGGUAGGGCUUCACACGUCAUACAAUGGUACAUACAGAGGGCCGCCAACCCGCGAGGGGGAGCUAAUCCCAGAAAGUGUAUCGUAGUCCGGAUUGUAGUCUGCAACUCGACUACAUGAAGUUGGAAUCGCUAGUAAUCGCGGAUCAGCAUGUCGCGGUGAAUACGUUCCCGGGUCUUGUACACACCGCCCGUCACACCAUGGGAGCGGGUUUCACCAGAAGUAGGUAGCCUAACCGUAAGGAGGGCGCUUACCACGGUGGGAUUCGUGACUGGGGUGAAGUCGUAACAAGGUA